rnacentral:rRNA from 1 species
UACGUAGGGAGCAAGCGUUGUCCGGAAUCAUUGGGCGUAAAGCGCGCGUAGGUGGCUUCGUAAGUCCGUUGUGAAAGUCAAAGGCUCAACCUUUGAAAGCCGAUGGAUACUGCGGAGCUGGAGUACGGAAGAGGCGAGUGGAAUUCCUGGUGUAGCGGUGGAAUGCGCAGAUAUCAGGAGGAACACCAAUAGCGAAGGCAGCUCGCUGGGACGUUACUGACACUGAGGCGCGAAAGCGUGGGGAGCGAACAGG